CCUACGGGUGGCUGCAGUGAGGAAUAUUGGACAAUGGGUGCAAGCCUGAUCCAGCCAUCCCGCGUGAAGGACGACGGCCCUAUGGGUUGUAAACUUCUUUUGUAUAGGGAUAAACCUUUCCACGUGUGGAAAGCUGAAGGUACUAUACGAAUAAGCACCGGCUAACUCCGUGCCAGCAGCCGCGGUAAUACGGAGGGUGCAAGCGUUAUCCGGAUUUAUUGGGUUUAAAGGGUCCGUAGGCGGAUCUGUAAGUCAGUGGUGAAAUCUCAUAGCUU
rnacentral:rRNA from 1 species